rnacentral:rRNA from 1 species
UACGUAGGUGGCGAGCGUUGUCCGGAAUUACUGGGCGUAAAGGGCGCGUAGGCGGGAUGGCAAGUCGGUCGUGAAAUCCCUCGGCUCAACUGAGGAUCGUCGAUCGAUACUGCCGUUCUUGAGGAUUGCAGAGGAGACUGGAAUUCCCGGUGUAGCGGUGAAAUGUGUAGAGAUCGGGAGGAACACCGGUGGCGAAGGCGGGUCUCUGGGCAAUUCCUGACGCUGAGGCGCGAAAGCGUGGGGAGCAAACGGG